ACCAACCCUGCAAAAUAUUUACUUAUUCAUGUAUCCUUGCAUUCAUCUCUUGUAACUGCUUAACCUGUACAUGGUUGCAGUACCAGAAAACAAAACAUUACUUUAAAAUAUAGUACUACUACCUUUUUGUUCAAAUAAACAAAAGAAUAGAAAAAAAAUGGCAGUAUCGUAAUGCAGUUAUUAAGUACAUAUUCACUGGUGUUUUGAGUCUAAAGAUCGAGAUGAUAAUCCCCUAGAAGUAGACAAAUGUGUUGUGUAACUAUUUUUACUCUUCAAAGUUUCUCAUCAUAUAUACAGUAUAUGUUAGUAUUCACCCAGGAUGUAACCAGGAUCCUGUGCCUGGGAUACAGUCAUGGCAAGCCUGCAUUGAACUGGAGAAUUGAAUUUUCACAAAUGUUAACAAGUUUUAAUUCCCAGGACUGUGAGGACUGAAGAAGACUGAUACAGAGAGAACAUGUCUGGGAUAAUUUACAUUAACAAUACUGCAAACUCUUUAGUGCGUCCAGAUUUUUUCCAUAUCAGUGGAUUUUCUAAUUUGCCUCAUGCCAAAUAUUUUUCUUUUUUCCUGUGUUUAGUUUACGCUGUGACUGUAUUGGGAAACUCCUUGGUCACAUUUAUUAUUUACAUAGACCGUAGUCUACACACCCCAAAGUAUAUGGCAAUUUUUAGUUUAGCUAUAGCUGACUUGGGUGAGAGCACAGCUAUUUUUCCUAAUGUGGUACAAAAUGUUAUGUUCAGUACACAACAAAUUGCCUAUGGUGCGUGCUUGGCCAAUAUGUUUUUUGUAUAUUUCUUUAACUCCGUUCAAUCUGUCAUGCUUACUGUUCUAGCAUAUGACAGGUUUGUUGCAAUUUGCUUUCCAUUGAGAUACCACAGCAUUGUCACAAACACAACAAUGGGUAUUAUUGUCACUGUUGGAUGGAUAUUCAAUUGUACCUACAUGAUUGUCGGAAUGAUUUUCAUCAUCAAACUGUCCUUCUGUAAAUCCACAAUGAUCGAUAGCUAUUUCUGUGACCAUGGUCCUAUAUACCGGCUGGCAUGUAAUGAUAAUACUCCAAGUAAAGUAUUAGCAAAGGUAUACAUUGUAUUACAUCUAUUUUUACCAAUGUCUGUAAUUGGUUUAUCUUAUGCAAGUAUUUUGCUGGCGCUGACUAAAAUUGCCUCCUGGGAAGGACGUCUAAAGGCUUUAAAGACCUGUUUUUCUCACCUAAUAUUAGUGUCUGUAUUUUAUAUUCCAUUAUUGUUCAUUUACAUAGCUGCACUCUAUAUCCCAAUUGACCCCAGUGCAAGGAUAAUCAAUACGUCACUCUCAUAUUGUGUUCCUGCCAUGCUGAACCCUAUUGUAUAUUCUCUGAACACUGCCGAGAUCAAAGAAUUUGUAAAAAAAAUGUUCAGAAGAAAUAGACACAACGACAUAGUACCCAUCUUUGCUAAGUGAUAAAACAUUUUUAUCAUGCUUGCUGAUAGUAUCCAAUUCACUGACAUAAUGGUUGCUUAAAUAGCCUGACUUUCCCCAGGGGAAAUUGUAGGAGGGAGAGACUGAAAAUUUAAGGAAAUUUGUUAACUAGAAUUACCUG